ACUGCUGCGGGCCCACCGUCUAUGACGCCUCGCACAUGGGGCACGCCAGGUCUUACAUCUCCUUCGAUAUCCUGAGAAGAGUGCUGAGGGAUUACUUCAAAUUCGACGUCUUCUACUGCAUGAACAUCACGGACAUUGACGAUAAGAUCAUCAAGAGAGCCCGGCAGAACUACCUGUUCGAGCGGUACCCGGAGACGCAACCCCCGGCAG